AUACGGAGGAUCCGAGCGUUAUCCGGAUUUAUUGGGUUUAAAGGGAGCGUAGGUGGAUUGUUAAGUCAGUUGUGAAAGUUUGCGGCUCAACCGUAAAAUUGCAGUUGAAACUGGCAGUCUUGAGUACAGCAGAGGUGGGCGGAAUUCGUGGUGUAGCGGUGAAAUGCUUAGAUAUCACGAAGAACUCCGAUUGCGAAGGCAGCUCACUAGACUGCAACUGACACUGAUGCUCGAAAGUGUGGGUAUCAAACAGGAUUAGAUACCCUGGUAGUCCACACAGUAAACGAUGAAUACUCGCUGUUUGCGAUAUACAGUAAGCGGCCAAGCGAAAGCAUUAAGUAUUCCGCCUGGGGAGUACGCCGGCAACGGUGAAACUCAAAUGAAUUGGCGGGG
rnacentral:rRNA from 1 species